GGGGGCUUUUUGGAUGAAGACUUCCCAAAGAAAGGGGUAGAUGUCUUCUCUGCAGAUUACGAAGAUAAGGAGAAUUACAUGGAGCACGGCAAGCCGGUAUUUAUUUUUAACCAGUUAGUUUUGAAAGAUUUUGUGUGGAUUUCAUUCAUUUAGUAUUGUAAUUGUUUGAACUUCCUUCCCCUUAACAGAAGAAAUCAUUCAAAUUCAAAAUGCCCCUUGUGCAUCGCAGAGGAUCUAAGGUAUAAUUGAACACAUCAUUUAGGGAAGGGGAGUUUAAAAUAAUUUAACAUUUGUUGGAAUAACUUUUUUUUUUUUUUUUUAGGAUCGGUUUUCAGCUGACCAUCUUGAAAAAGCUUCAGGCCUACAUUUGCCUCAACAUAGCGCGAAUGUAUAUAUAUAUAUAUAUUUUUUAUAUCUGUGUGUUUGUAAACAAAAAGAGCAAUAUAUUGGUGUACAAAAUCUGUGUUGACAUAUUCCUGUGGUGUGUUUUCCAGGAGGGCUUGCUAGACGAUGACUUUCCUCAGAAGGAAGUAGGAUUCAUAUCUGCAGGGGAGAAUGAAGAUGAAGAACAUAAUGGGAUCGAAGACUCCAAACAGGCCCUGGGUUUGGAUGAGAACUCUGAAGAGGAGCCAGAGGAACGUGAUGGGACGGGUGGAUUUGUAUGCUUUGUCUCAUGCUUAACACGUUUAGGAAGUUGACAACUGUUUCGUAUGAAAAAUGUAUCAAACUUCUAUCAUUGAGACUGUUUGCAUCUGUUUUUCUGCACAGAAAAAAAGUAAAGGUGUCAAAAUUAAGUUUGUGCCUCACAGAGGGUUCGCAAUCUGCCUCGAAAAGGAUGAACCAACAGGCGCUCAUGAAUACACACCUCGCAGAGGUUCAAAGAUGAUUCAUGAGAAACCUCUUGAUGAACUUAAAGGUGCCCAUGGUUAUACACCACGCAAGGAGUCCAAGGUUAAUAUUUUUGAGGAAACAGAAGAAGUGAAAGGCUACAUCCCGCAGUCACACCCCAAGCAGAGCUUUUUGGAUGAUUACUUGCCUGAGAAGGGGGCACAUUUCUCCUCAGCAGGAGCGGUAGAAGAAUAUCAACAGAACGUGAUGGAAGACUGCAAACCGAAGAAACCGUUCAAAUUAAAACUCCUACAUAUGAAUCGUCGGAAAUCGGGGAGCGCUGAGGAGAAUUCUCAGACUAGCAGCACACAACAGUACUCCCCACAAAGGAGAUCAGAGGAGGACUUUCUGGACAGUGAUGUGCCUCAGAAGGGAGCAGAUCUCUUCUAUGCUGGACAGAUAGAAGAGGAACAGAACGAGAUGGAAGACUGGAAACCGAAGAAACCAUCGAAAUUUAAGAACCACCUUGCAAGUCGGCGCAAGUCGAGCCAAAUCCAGGAAAUGUUUCCAUAUGAAAAGUCACAGAUUGGUUCCGAGCGCUACACACCUCGACGAGCGUCCCAUGAGGGCUUUCUGGACGAUGACACUUCUCAGAGGAGGUCGGAUCUCUUCUCAGCAGGAGGGCAUGGAGAUUAUUAUGGACAGGAUGAUAUAGAAGACUGCAAACCGAAGAAAUCUUUCAAAUUUAAAGCCCCUCAUAAGCAUCGCAAAGAAACUAAGACUAAAGCGAGAGAUGAAAGGAUGACUGAGUACCCACCAGGAGCCACAUCUAGUGACUACUACUUUUCAGAGGCUGCAGAGGCUGAGUGGCGUUCUGCUCAGAUUGACGAACAGCUUGCAGACGGUCUGGAGGAUGAGGAGGAGGAGGAAGAGGGGGUCAGUAUUUGA
ensembl:lncRNA